AACGAACGCUGGCGGCAGGCCUAACACAUGCAAGUCGAACGCAUCGCAAGAUGAGUGGCAGACGGGUGAGUAACGCGUGGGAAUUUUCCUCUCGGUACGGAAUAGCUCAGGGAAACUUGAGGUAAUACCGUAUACGUCCGCAAGGAGAAAGAUUUAUCGCCGAGAGAUAAGCCCGCGUCUGAUUAGCUAGUUGGUGAGGUAACGGCUCACCAAGGCGACGAUCAGUAGCUGGUCUGAGAGGAUGACCAGCCACACUGGGACUGAGACACGGCCCAGACUCCUACGGGAGGCAGCAGUGGGGAAUCUUGGACAAUGGGCGAAAGCCUGAUCCAGCCAUGCCGCGUGAGUGAAGAAGGUCUUCGGAUUGUAAAGCUCUUUUGGCGGGGACGAUAAUGACGGUACCCGCAGAAUAAGCCCCGGCUAACUUCGUGCCAGCCGCCGCAGUAACAC
rnacentral:rRNA from 1 species